ensembl:misc_RNA 7SK 7SK RNA
GGAUGUGAGGGCGAUCUAGCUUCGACAUCUGUCACCUCAUUGAUCGCCAGGGCUGAUUCAGCUGAUCUGGCUGGCUAGGUGGGCGUUCCCUUCUUUCCUCACCGCUCCACGUGUGUUCCUCCCGAAGCUGCGUGCUUGGAGGAUGGCAAUCCCCGAUAGAGGAGGACCAGUCUUCAGUCAAGGGUAUACAAGUAUCUGUGCUCCCCUGCUAGAACCUCCAAACAAGCUCUCAAGAUAACACUGAACCAUCCCAAAAUGAGCAGAUCAUUUGGGAUGGCCAAACAGCAAGGUAGAAGAGCUCAAGCCUUGUGGGAAAGUUACAGUGGUCUUGGUGU